rnacentral:rRNA from 1 species
AGUGAACGCUGGCGGUAGGCCUAACACAUGCAAGUCGAACGGCAGCACAGUAAGAGCUUGCUCUUACGGGUGGCGAGUGGCGGACGGGUGAGGAAUACAUCGGAAUCUACUUUUUCGUGGGGGAUAACGUAGGGAAACUUACGCUAAUACCGCAUACGACCUACAGGUGAAAGCAGGGGAUCUUCGGACCUUGCGCGAUUGAAUGAGCCGAUGUCGGAUUAGCUAGUUGGCGGGGUAAAGGCCCACCAAGGCGACGAUCCGUAGCUGGUCUGAGAGGAUGAUCAGCCACACUGGAACUGAGACACGGUUCAGACUCCUACGGGAGGCAGCAGUGGGGAAUAUUGGACAAUGGGCGCAAGCCUGAUCCAGCCAUACCGCGUGGGUGAAGAAGGCCUUCGGGUUGUAAAGCCCUUUUGUUGGGAAAGAAAAGCAGCAGGUUAAUACCCCGCUGUUCUGACGGUACCCAAAGAAUAAGCACCGGCUAACUUCGUG